GAACAUUUAUUAUAAAUAAGUAAUUUUAAUUGCAAAUUAAAAAGUUUUUUGUUCU
rnacentral:tRNA from 2 species